rnacentral:rRNA from 1 species
AUUGAACGCUGGCGGCAUGCCUUACACGUGCAAGUCGAACGGUAACGGGCCUUCGGGUGCCGACGAGUGGCGAACGGGUGAGUAAUGUAUCGGAACGUACCUUUCAGUGGGGGAUAACGUAGCGAAAGUUACGCUAAUACCGCAUAUUCUGUGAGCAGGAAAGCAGGGGAUCGCAAGACCUUGCGCUGAUUGAGCGGCCGGUAUCAGAUUAGCUAGUUGGUGAGGGAAAGGCUCACCAAGGCGACGAUCUGUAGCGGGUCUGAGAGGAUGAUCCGCCACACUGGAACUGAGACACGGUCCAGACUCCUACGGGAGGCAGCAGUGGGGAAUUUUGGACAAUGGGGGCAACCCUGAUCCAGCCAUGCCGCGUGAGUGAAGAAGGCCUUCGGGUUGUAAAGCUCUUUCGGCCGGGAAGAAAUCGUAUCAGCUAAUACCUGGUGCGGAUGACGGUACCGGCAUAAGAAGCACCGGCUAACUACGUGCCAGCCGCCGCGGUAAUAC